UCCUCUCCGAUGCCCUAGCUUUGAUGGUAGAAAAGACUACUACAGUUGCUAUAGCUCUUCUAUGCCCUAGUCAUUGUCUUCUAAACAGACAACAGUUGGUUGCAGAUCAGAUUAGAUGCAAUGUAGCUCUCUUAUUCCACUGGUCUCAGACUCAAACCCGUUGCAAAUGGUGCAUAGGAGUGUGCAGAUACGGCAGUCCUCCUACCUCAAUGUUAUUCGCGUUUCAGAUAUUCAGAAAGUUCUGGACAUAAGCGGUGUGCAGACAUAUAUCAUCAACAGUGCAAGGAAUGUGUUUCUCAUUGAGAGACCCUAAUCGAGGCCUGAAAAAUGCAUGACAAAUACUCGUGAAAUAUGUGCUCGAAGUCUUCUGGAUUCAUUUUGGUUUUGCUUGCUGGGCUGCAAGUUGGCUGGAAUUGAGGGAAGCAGGGACGCGACAUUUCUUCUCUAGGCAAAGCAUCCGGGAGACAGCAGAGAAGCCUUUUCAAACCACAGGCGGCCCAGUUUAUGGAAGAGCCUCUUCCACCGUGUUACAGAGAACAACACCAUGAAAGCAGUGUUAGAAUUUAAUCCCAAUUGCAGGGAACUUUAAUGCAUCCGUAUACUCCUCCUGCAAGCUCAACUACUCCUCUCUCUUCUCGCCUCCGUUUUAGGACAGUUUUUGAAUUUGGUUUGAUGGCAUAUCCUGAUCAUAUCUUUCUCGUAGCUGCUAAGUCAGCAUUAAAUAUAAUUAAUUAGUUUUUGUUUUCCCCCAUACGAUGGAAUUUAUUUUUGGCUUAUGACAAAAAGGCUAAGUUCAUAAUUUUUUUAAGACAGAGAUAUAUGUGAAAAAGGGCAUCGCACGGGUAAGAAAAACAGGGCAGAACAGAGAGAACAGAGAGCAGAAUCAGAACAGGGGUUUCCAUUUUUCAUGUCUAAGAAACUAUUUGAAGAGCUCAAGCUCUGUCUUAUUUGUAUGGUUUGAUAUUUGAAUGAAUGAAGAGAAGGACUGGUUAUUUGAA